rnacentral:lncRNA from 1 species
UCAAUCAAAGGCUCCCGGACCAGUUGGAUGGCCAUGUCCAGGAACUGGGGAGCUAACUGGCAGUCUAAUGCCUAUCUCAAUGGCCAGUCUCUGUCCUUCAAGGUCACCACCACUGAUGGAGUGACCCAAGAAUUCGACAAUGUUGUGCCUUCAGAUUGGGGGUUUGGUCAGACCUUCUCUAGCUCAGUACAGUUUUAAGCCAAGAAAGCUGCUUUGGGGUUCAGGGUUUCGGGUUUUCAUUGGCAGAGGCGUGCUUACUAUUUUAAUGAAGCAGCCCGCCCUAAAUUAUGAGAAGGAAUUCUCAAAUGGUUGGCAAUGGAGAUGGGGGCUAACCCAUGAACUCAAGGCUACUAUCAACUCCUUGUGCCCAUUUCUUCCACAGGGCCUGAAAACCAAAUUAUGGUGUCAUUGUGUGUUGAAAAUUUUCGGGAUCUUACUGAAAAUCAUGCACAUCAGAAAUAAGAAGCACAUGCAGUUAAAUUGCAGCUUCAAAUAUAUGAAUAGUUCUUUUUUUCUUCAUUUUACAUAU